rnacentral:pre_miRNA from 1 species
UCUUAUUAAUGAUCAAGGAAAGUGGUUUCUUGAGAUGGAAACUACUCCUAUUGAAGAUGCUGUGAA